CAGGUCCCUGGAUUCGGCGACCAAAUAUCAUAUUAGUGUCUUUCCACAGCUCGGUCGGAUCAGUCUAGUGUCUUGUGUCAGUGUUACCCCCGUUCAUGGUCUAGAAAAUGGCUAUUGAAGUCUUCGUAAUUCGCACAUCGACGGCUGGAGUUUUCAAGAAAGCCGUCAUUGGAACCCUCACUGCUUUAAUUGCAUGCAGUUACGUUUGUUUGGGCAUCAUGUUUGACAUAUUCGUAUUUUGUAAUGGUUACCUCGGACCUUUUAGAGGAAAGUCUAAAGAACAUGAUAUGGUUUAUUCUGGACUUAUUUGCGUGUGGGUAAAUAUGCAGGUGUACGCCGCUUGGUCAGUCCUGAUCGGCAUGAAAAAGAGAAAACCAGCCUUGCUAUACCCAUUCCUCGCAGUCAACCUUAUAAGCGUCGGCAUAUUUACAAUUCUCUUCAGAAUCAAUUCGCGGACCGGCUCUGUCGAACAGGCAUGUCCAAAAUUGGUGAAAGAUGCCAUUCCAUUCACGAUGCUCUUCUCCGUCUCUGUAGUGGGUGCAUAUUUGAAUGUCUUGAGGGCCAAAGACAUUUUACUAGCACAACCGAUGGCAUAACACAAUUGUGACUGUUCCUCGGAGUGAAAUUGAUAAUAUUGACAACUUAUAUUUUCAUCAUCAAAUCGAGAAUAAAAGUCAAUUUUGAAUGUACUCAAGAAAUGCAUUUUCACUAUAUCCUAAGCCGUCGAUUAUUCACGGACUCUGUAAUUUUUUUGCC
rnacentral:lncRNA from 1 species